AGAGUUUGAUCCUGGCUCAGGACGAACGCUGGCGGCGCGCCUAACACAUGCAAGUCGAACGAGCGAGAGAGAGCUUGCUUUCUCGAGCGAGUGGCGAACGGGUGAGUAACGCGUGAGGAACCUGCCUCAAAGAGGGGGACAACAGUUGGAAACGACUGCUAAUACCGCAUAAGCCCACAGGUCGGCAUCGACCAGAGGGAAAAGGAGCAAUCCGCUUUGAGAUGGCCUCGCGUCCGAUUAGCUAGUUGGUGAGGUAACGGCCCACCAAGGCAACGAUCGGUAGCCGGACUGAGAGGUUGAACGGCCACAUUGGGACUGAGACACGGCCCAGACUCCUACGGGAGGCAGCAGUGGGGAAUAUUGCACAAUGGGGGAAACCCUGAUGCAGCGACGCCGCGUGGAGGAAGAAGGUCUUCGGAUUGUAAACUCCUGUUGUUGAGGAAGAUAAUGACGGUACUCAACAAGGAAGUGACGGCUAACUACGUGCCAGCAGCCGCGGUAAAACGUAGGUCACAAGCGUUGUCCGGAAUUACUGGGUGUAAAGGGAGCGCAGGCGGGAAGACAAGUUGGAAGUGAAAUCUAUGGGCUCAACCCAUAAACUGCUUUCAAAACUGUUUUUCUUGAGUAGUGCAGAGGUAGGCGGAAUUCCCGGUGUAGCGGUGGAAUGCGUAGAUAUCGGGAGGAACACCAGUGGCGAAGGCGGCCUACUGGGCACCAACUGACGCUGAGGCUCGAAAGUGUGGGUAGCAAACAGGAUUAGAUACCCUGGUAGUCCACACCGUAAACGGAUGAUUACUAGGUGUUGGAGGAUUGACCCCUUCAGUGCCGCAGUUAACACAAUAAGUAAUCCACCUGGGGAGUACGACCGCAAGGUUGAAACUCAAAGGAAUUGACGGGGGCCCGCACAAGCAGUGGAGUAUGUGGUUUAAUUCGACGCAACGCGAAGAACCUUACCAAGUCUUGACAUCCUGCGACGAUGCUGGAAACAGUAUUUUCCUUCGGGACGCAGAGACAGGUGGUGCAUGGUUGUCGUCAGCUCGUGUCGUGAGAUGUUGGGUUAAGUCCCGCAACGAGCGCAACCCUUACUGUCAGUUACUACGCAAGAGGACUCUGGCAGGACUGCCGUUGACAAAACGGAGGAAGGCGGGGAUGACGUCAAAUCAUCAUGCCCCUUAUGACUUGGGCUACACACGUGCUACAAUGGCGUAAACAAAGGGAAGCAAAGCUGUGAAGCCGAGCAAAUCUCAAAAAUAACGUCUCAGUUCGGACUGUAGUCUGCAACCCGACUACACGAAGCUGGAAUCGCUAGUAAUCGCAGAUCAGAAUGCUGCGGUGAAUACGUUCCCGGGUCUUGCACUCACCGCCCGUCA
rnacentral:rRNA from 1 species